rnacentral:misc_RNA from 1 species
GUGAAUCAUCAAAUCUUUGAACGCAUAUUGCACUCUCUGGGAAGCCGGAGAGUAUUUCUAUGUGAGGGUCAUUUGAAAGAAUAUAAUUUCCAAUAUUGCUCGGAAUUUAAAAUGGGUGGUCCAUUUUUUGUGGUCUCCUAAAAUCCAAGACAAGCUCAUUUUCUUGUGUUGCGUGAGACUUUCAGUUACCUCGUGACUUAACCAGGAGUCAUCGGGCUUGAUUUGAAUUUUGCAAGAGAUAAAAAAUUCCAUAUAUUUAUCUCAUGAUAGAUAG